CCCUCUGGAGCCAACUGUUCAGCCAAUCGGCAUAGGGAAGCGCUCGGGAAUUCUGGGAGCUGUAGUCGGCCUCCGACGAAUGCUGCAAACUUUUGCAAGAGGCUUUAGUCAUAUCGCUGGCAAUACCAGACGAGAGUGACAGCCCGGGGAGUCAUUAGGGCUGCAUGAUGAAACGGGACGUUACGGGCGGACGCUAGAGAGCCAGGUGUGAAAUCCAUCCCAAGAAGGAAGCCUCAGGUCCAGACAAAAGAGAAGAUUUGAGCGUGGGAUGGUGAUGGACGCCUACAAUCCCAGCUCCGUGGGAGCCAGAAAGUUGUCUGCAGGAGACUAGAAUCUUGAAGCGCAAGCCCCCAAUCUGGAUCCAACUACACCUUAAUAGGCUGCCCCAGAAGUCGCACAUUUCCAGAAAGAACAACUUCUCCCUUGCUUUUUAGCUGUGUGAACCUACACAUCUCUGAACCUGUUUCCUGUUGUAUCAAACCGUGCAGUAAAGUUUACUCCACAGGGGUACUGUGGGGACGAGAGCUAAGGCCCGAAAACCCCUUAACGAGGUUUGAUGCCGGCUGAACGUUCAAUCAGUCAUACUUAUUAUUUAUAUUAUGAUUGUUCUUAGUCUAACGUAUCUAGCUCAGUGAUUGGCAGACAAUGGGUACUGAAGGUGGCUAUAACUAUCACUGCCUAAAAACUCUAGAGCACAGAGCCUGGCAUUUAGCAGGUGCAGAAUAAAUGGUAGACAGCUUUUUUUUUUUUUAACCUAAGGACAAAAAAAGCAUAUUUUCAACCCCAACGUCUCUGUGAAGUUACGGUACUCGUUUUUGCUCGGCAACAGGCUCCUCUUACGUAAUCCUUCUCGGCCAAUGAGCAGAAAGGAUUUCCUUUAUUUCAGAAGAAGAUCUUUGCUGCUCUGAUUGUUGAUACUCCCCGUCUUCAGAAAGUUCCUCAGCAGCCAUUCUCUGUUGCUCAGCCAGAAGUUGCUGAAGUUCCUCUGUAGACAAUUAUUCUGAGUGUUCCUCCACCAGUUCAACAUCAGCACUGUCUAUCUGUAAGCCUAUGGACUCUGCUGUAGUGACAGUGUCAUCAACCACAGGGUCAAUUGAAGUCUCAGGCCCCUCUACACAGCCUUCAAAAUCUCUCUCCUAUAACACUUUAGGAAGACACUUUCUUCCAGGCAGAUUUCAGUGUCCUUAGAGUGACAUUGGCCCAGGAUUUCUCAAUUAACCACACGUAGGAAAAGAUGUUGUAAUGUUCCUUCCAGAAAUCUUUAAGGGUUAAAUCUGUAUCUGAGAUCAUCUGAAAGCACAAGCAGCCAGCAUUUGGGUUGUAACCCAAGACUUCGGUCCUAAGUUAAAAUUAUGGUUGCAACCCAAGUUGUUCAUAUGUCAGGCUGGUUGUAACUCAAGGGUCCACUGUACAUCAUCAUCUACCACUUAUAAGGGGCAUGCUGACACGCCUUCCAUUCCCUCACGCCCGAAGACGCAGCUUCCACUUCUGUAGUAGCUGCUCUUCACUGCUCCUGGGCUGCCUAUGCGACAUUGGUUUGGAAAUCAAUGGAGUUUUCCUGUCAAACCAUAUCCACUUGGGCUGUGUUGGCUGCCAUCGCUGUCUCCAAAGCCAUCACUUGGCUGGAUCACCAUGACUGUGCCGCCAUGACUGCACUGGUCUGAUAAGCUGGUGCCUUCCAUCGCUUCGCUACCAUGAGUACCAAUGCUUGCUCUUGCUGUAGAAUUCAAGAAGAGCUCUUGUGGUGGAUUGACUAAUGGGCAACUUAUAACGCCCACCUGAACUGAAUCAGCGUGGUCUGGGCACGGAGGAUUCACCUGAAGAUUAUCAAUAGCCAUAAAAAGAGAACUGGAGGGGAAGAUCUUGGCCUGUUGAUUUUAUAGGAAACACUUGCUGCGGAUGGUUUUCCUGCUACAAACUAGGCUGUUCUCAUAGGAGGAGGAGCUCGGGCCUUGCUGUCACUGGGAAUGGCUGCUGUUUGUCAGGGGAGUUCCAAUGUAGGUCCCUUAGCUUGGUGGCACAAAUCCUUCAUCUCAAUGGCAUAGGUUUUCUGGCUUCCACCACUGGCCUUUGGGCCUUCCAGGUGCAGAUCCUCGAUAUGGACAAGCAUGAGACAUUGCCGUGGACUCUAGGCCUUUGGCUG